GGGAACAUGUCAGAGCUGUGAGGAUCAAAGAUCUCUCCUCUCUCCCUGUUGAUCCACUCUUCCCCACCCCCACAGCCACGAUCUUUCUGAUCUCCCAGUCUGCAUCCUCACAGAGGGGUCUGGGAACUCCAACUGCAGGAAGACAUCAGAAACCAGAAUUAUCCUUCCAGUUGGGUCCCGUCCUCCCGUUUCUCUCACUGACAGCCUCAACUCUUCUAAAUCCUUCCUAUUCCUCGGCCCUCUCCUCCUGUCCUCCCCGAGACACUCAUUCUCCCCUCUUCAUGCCCGUUUGCCCACGUGCCCCCCUCCCCACCCCUCCUGACCUGCUCUGUCUCGUGCUCCUCUCUCCCUCACACCUGAAGAGCACUCCACAGCCAGGAUGUGCUAUUUCUAUGGGACAAAUCCUUAUCUGUUCCUUUACCGCACUCUACUAUGCUUCACCAUUGUGGACCCCUGGGGACUGAGGGCACCCCCAGCCAGCGGCUCCAGUCUCCUCAUCCUUCAUUCACAUUCUGCACGUUCGACAGACCUUCUGGAGCCCAGGGGACACAGCUAAAGAGCCUUGAAGAGGAGAAAAGAGCAGCUCAGCAGUGAGGAAUUUUUAGCAGUGAUGAUGUGGCUGAGUGAAGUAACUCUGCUGUUCCGGGCGGGUCUGCCAGACUUCUGUUUCUGUUCCUGGAAGCCCCCCCUCAGAUGGACAGGGGUUUUCCGCAUGUUCUGGGGCUCCAGGAGCAUAUAUAUCCAGCGACCCAGGCGCCCAGCGAGACUGAGGGAGCAGAGCCGGACCCACUGGAUUCUUCAGCACACCACUGACGCAGGCUCGGGUACGAUGAUGUGGGCUUUCUUGGCACUGUGCUUCCUGCUGUGCCAUUCUGCCCAGGGGGCAGCGAGCGCAGGAGAGCAGAGGGCCCUGGGGCAGAGGGACAACAGCCCAGAGGCGCAGGAGGGGCGCGGCUGCAGUUCCACGCUGGCAGAGGUGCUGGGGCAGCUGCUGAGGCAGUGCCUGGCCUGGAAGGGAGGCUGGGCGGAGCUGACCUGCGACCCCACCGAGAUGGGGUUCCACGGCUUCACCCCGGAGCCGAACUCCAGCAGCUCCUUCCCCUGGUACAGCUUCCUGGUCCAGAACCGCAUCCGCUACUACCACCUGCGCAAGGCCAACGCCAGCCUGUCCAAGUUCGAGCUGUCUCCGGACGACCGCCACACGCUGGUGGGCCUGUCCCUGCUGCGCCCCGCCAACGCCUCCUCUUCCUCCUCGCCCAAGGUAGGCUCAGUCUUCCUCUCGGACCCGUGCAGCGACUGGGGCACCGUGCCCAUCCCGGCCGCCGCCCUGCAGCCCCUGCGCGGCCUCCCGCCGGCCCGGUUCCAGAGCGCCCUCUCCAGGCUGCAGGCGGAAGCGCAGCGCCCCCGCCGCACCAAGCGCUGCCUGCUGUGCAAGAUCCUGCCGCUCAUCUACGUGAAAAGCAGCGACCAGCACGACGGCAGGGCGGUGGUCCACUGGCAGAACAUCCACGAUUCGGACGAGUACAGCCGCGUGGCGCUGUACCCCAACGCGGACUCCUCGCCCUGGGGCUUCCUGACCAAGGCGAACGCGGAGGGGGUGACGGACGGGUAUCUGCGCACCCGUGUCCCGGUGCACCCCAACAUGGAGGCGCGCUUCUACCUGGACCCGCUGCUGGUGCUGCUGGAGCGGAAGAGCAAGGGCUACCACCUGUCCUGCUACGAGGACCCCACUUACGUCAGCAUGUCCAUGAGGCUGCAGCUGGUGGCCCAGCAUGGGCAGGCCUGCGCCCGCGUCUUCAUCGACGUCUCCCAGCACCCCAACUGGCGCAACGAGGUCUACUACUGGUGGGUGGGCUUCUACAGCAGCCGGAACAGGGCCGCCAACGAGCACCAGGAGUACCAGUGGGUGACCAAGGCCUCCUACGUUACCUCCGUCUUCCUGGACGAGGAAAUUUUCGGGGUGUACGACGUGGGCUGUGGGGGCCACAUUGGCCCCCGGAUGAAUGUGCGCAUCUUUGGGAGCCGAGAUUACUCCAGAGAGAGGGCCCGCACCCCAGAAUGGGACUGCUGAGAGAGCCCCGCCGACGCACAGAAAUCCCACCGCUGACUCACUAAU
rnacentral:lncRNA from 1 species